rnacentral:rRNA from 1 species
GACGUAGGGCGCGAGCGUUGUCCGGAUUUAUUGGGCGUAAAGAGCGCGUAGGCGGUCCGAUAAGUCGGCUGUGAAAGUCAAGGGCUCAACCCUUGAAUGCCGGUUGAUACUGUCGGGCUAGAGUCCGGAAGAGGCGAGUGGAAUUCCCGGUGUAGCGGUGAAAUGCGCAGAUAUCGGGAGGAACACCAAUGGCGAAGGCAGCUCGCUGGGACGGUACUGACGCUGAGACGCGAAAGCGUGGGGAGCAAACAGG